UUCCCGGUUGAUCCUGCCRGACCCGACUGCUAUCAGAGUGGGACUAAGCCAUGCGAGUCGACACAGCAAUGUGUGGCAUACGGCUCAGUAACACGUAGUCAACAUGCCCAGGGGACGUGGAUAACCUCGGGAAACUGAGGAUAAACCGCGAUAGGUCACUACUUCUGGAAUGGGUAAUGACCCAAACCUAUAUGGCCCCUGGAUUGGACUGCGGCCGAUCAGGCUGUUGGUGAGGUAAUGGCCCACCAAACCUGUAACCGGUACGGGCUCUGAGAGGAGGAGCCCGGAGAUGGGCACUGAGACAAGGGCCCAGGCCCUAUGGGGCGCAGCAGGCGCGAAACCUCUGCAAUAGGCGAAAGCUUGACAGGGUUACUCUGAGUGAUUUCCGUUAAGGAGAUCUUUUGGCACCCCUAAAAAUGGUGCAGAAUAAGGGGUGGGCAAGUCUGGUGUCAGCCGCCGCGGUAAUACCAGCACCCCGAGUGGUCGGGACGUUUAUUGGGCCUAAAGCAUCCGUAGCCGGUUCUACAAGUCUUCCGUUAAAUCCACCUGCUCAACAGAUGGGCUGCGGAAGAUACUAUGGAGCUAGGAGGCGGGAGAGGCAAGCGGUACUCGAUGGGUAGGGGUAAAAUCCGUUGAUCCAUUGAAGACCACCAGUGGCGAAGGCGGCUUACCAGAACGCGCUCGACGGUGAGGGAUGAAAGCUGGGGGAGCAAACCGGAUUAGAUACCCGGGUAGUCCCAGCUGUAAACGAUGCAGACUCGGUGAUGAGUUGGCUUUAUGCCAACUCAGUGCCGCAGGGAAGCCGUUAAGUUUGCCGCCUGGGGAGUACGGUCGCAAGACUGAAACUUAAAGGAAUUGGCGGGGGAGCACCACAAGGGGUGAAGCCUGCGGUUCAAUUGGAUUCAACGCCGGA
rnacentral:rRNA from 1 species